GUUGAUCCUGCGGGAGGUUGCUGCUAUUGGAAUUCGAAUUAGCCAUGCAAGUCAGGGGGUUUUCGGACCACCGGCGAAAGGCUCAGUAACACGUCAAUAAUCUGCCCUUAGAUUAGGGAUAACUUCGAGAAAUUGAAGCUAAUACCUAAUAGAAGAUUGAUACUGGAAGGUGCUAUCUUUGAAACGUAAGGUCUAAGGAUGAGUUGGCGGCUGAUUAGGCUGUUGGUGAGGUAACGGCUCACCAAACCGAUGAUCAGUAGGGGAGAUGAGAGUCUUAGCCCCGAGAAGGACACGGAGGUACUUGUCCUAGUCCUAAGGGAUGCAGCAGGCACGGAACCUUUACAAUGCACGAAAGUGUGAUAAGGGAAUUCCAAGUGCUCUAUCAAUGAUAGGGCUUUUGUCAAGUGUGAGGAGCUUGUCGAAUAAGUGGUGGGCAAGACUGGUGCCAGCCGCCGCGGUAACACCAGCGCCACGAGUGGCAACCAUGUUUAUUGGGUCUAAAGCGUCCGUAGCCGGUUUGAUAAAUUUCCUGUGAAAUUGUCCAGCUCAACUGGACAGCGUGCAAGAAAGACUGUUUAACUUGAGACCGGGAGGAGAUAAGGGUAUUCCAGGGGGAACGGUAAAAUGUAAUAAUCCUUGGAGGACCACCAAUGGCGAAGGCACUUAUCUAGAACGGUUCUGACGGUCAGGGACGAAAGCUAGGGGAGCAAAACGGAUUAGAUACCCGAGUAGUCCUAGCUGUAAACGCUGCGAGCUAGGUGGUGCGUAUUCUUCGGGAAUAUGCAACGCCCUAACGAAGGUGUUAAGCUCGCCACCUGGGAAGUAUAGUCGCAAGGCCGAAACUUAAAGGAAUUGGCGGGGGCUCGCUACAAGGGGUGCGGCGUGCGGUUUAAUCUAAUUACACACAGAGAAUCUCACCAGCAGCGACGGCAGGAUGAAGGUCAGAUUGAAGGUUUUACCUGACAAGCCGAGAGGUGUUGCAUGGCCGUCGUCAGUUCGUGCCGUAAGGUGUUGCGUUAAGUCGUAUAACGAACAAGACCCAUGCCUAUAUUUGCUAACGUGUUCUAUGGAAUGAGCGAGCACAAUAUAGGAACUGCCUUGGAAACGAGGAGGAAGGUGUGGGCAACGAUAGGUCUGUAUGACCCGAAUCUGCUGGGCUACACGCGCGCAACAAUGGUAGGGACAAUGGGAUACAACUCCGAAAGGAGAAGUUAAGCCUCUAAACCCUAUCUUAGUCUAGAUUGAGGUUUGUAAUUCAGCCUCAUGACAAUGGAAUCCCUAGUAAUCGGGUGUCAACAGCGCCCGGUGAACACGUCCACGAGCCUUGCACACACUGCCCGUCAUCCCAACCGAGCAGGGUUUUGGUGAGGUUUACUUUUUUUGAGUGAAUCGAAUCUAAGUUCAGUGAGGUGGGGCAAGUCGUCACAAGGUA
rnacentral:rRNA from 1 species